rnacentral:rRNA from 1 species
UACGAAGGGGAGCUAGCGUUGUUCGGAAUUACUGGGCGUAAAGCGCACGUAGGCGGAUUGUUAAGUCGGGGGUGAAAUCCUGAGGCUCAACCUCAGAACUGCCUUCGAUACUGGCAAUCUCGAGUCCGGAAGAGGUUGGUGGAACAGCUAGUGUAGAGGUGAAAUUCGUAGAUAUUAGCUAGAACACCAGUGGCGAAGGCGGCCAACUGGUCCGGUACUGACGCUGAGGUGCGAAAGCGUGGGGAGCGAACAGG